CAAAAGCCCUGUGUCCUUGGGAGCAACCAAGAUGUAAUCGGUCAGAGAAAUGGUUUCUUCCUGGAUCCAUGUGAGUUAAACUGUUGUGGGACUGGAGACACUCGCGCCUGCAGAGUUGUGGUGACAAGCAAGCCCUCCUCUUUGCUCCCUGUCUGAAGUCUGCAUAUUCCAUGAAUCCUUGAGGGAGCCUGAUUCUUAUAAGGCAGGGGUCACUAAAGGAACCACAACAGUGUCUCCCUUGGAGAAAAGGAAAGGAAAUCACCACCGUUUAAGAACGCCACAGAAUUCAUUCCCUUCAGAUACUGUCCGUGUGUGAGUUACACGUGCCAACUGCCAGGUAAGAUAGUUCCUGAAGAAAGAUCUUCCUCUGGGGCCUCCAAAGCUGACGCCAGGUCUCUAGGGAAGAGAGACCGAAACGUCACAAGACAGAAUUAACACAACACGUGAGACAGUGUUCAGCUCUUCUUCUCUCAAAGAUCAAACUAGCCACAAUGGCGUUAGCACCAUCACCAUAUACACACUUGGGUACAGAGAAAUCUUGAGUAACCUAUGAAAUAGCCAUGUAGCUAAGUCUGUGCACCA
ensembl:lincRNA E330013P04Rik RIKEN cDNA E330013P04 gene